CUCGUAGGCGGCCAACUAAGUCAGACGUGAAAUCCCUCGGCUUAACCGGGGAACUGCGUCUGAUACUGGAUGGCUUGAGUGUAGGAGAGGGAUGCGGAAUUCCAGGUGUAGCGGUGAAAUGCGUAGAUAUCUGGAGGAACACCGGUGGCGAAGGCGACAUCCUGGACUACUACUGACGCUGAGGAGCGAAAGCCAGGGGAGCAAACGGGAUUAGAUACCCCGGUAGUCCUGGCCCUAAACGAUGAAUGCUUGGUGUGACGGGUAUCGAUCCCUGUCGUGCCGAAGCUAACGCAUUAAGCAUUCCGCCUGGGGAGUACGGUCGCAAGGCUGAA
rnacentral:rRNA from 1 species